rnacentral:pre_miRNA from 1 species
AGAGAACUUUGGCCACCUGUGCCUGAGAACUGAAUGCCAUAGGCAGUGAGCGCUAGCAGAUACCCUAGGAACUCAGUUCUGGUGCCCAUCAGUGCUACA